UGGGGAAUUUUCCGCAAUGGGCGAAAAGCCUGACGGAGCAAUGCCGCGUGGAGGUGGAAGGCCUACGGGUCGUCAACUUCUUUUCUCGGAGAAGAAACAAUGACGGUAUCUGAGGAAUAAGCAUCGGCUAACUCUGUGCCAA
rnacentral:rRNA from 1 species